UACGUAGGGGGCGAGCGUUAUCCGGAAUUAUUGGGCGUAAAGAGUGCGUAGGUGGUCUUGUAAGCGUGGGGUGAAAGGCAGUGGCUUAACCAUUGUUAGCCUUGCGAACUGUGAGACUUGAGUGCAGGAGAGGAAAGUGGAAUUCCUAGUGUAGCGGUGAAAUGCGUAGAUAUUAGGAGGAACAUCAGUGGCGAAGGCGACUUUCUGGACUGUAACUGACACUGAGGCACGAAAGCGUGGGGAGCAAACAGGAUUAGAUACCCUGGUA
rnacentral:rRNA from 1 species